rnacentral:rRNA from 1 species
GUGGGGAAUAUUGCGCAAUGGGCGAAAGCCUGACGCAGCGACGCCGUGUGAGGGAUGAAGGUCUUCGGAUCGUAAACCUCUGUCAGAAGGGAAGAACGGGUUUGGCUCUAAUCAGCUAGACAUUGACGGUACCUUCAAAGGAAGCACCGGCUAACUCCGUGCCAGCAGCCGCGGUAAUACGGAGGGUGCAAGCGUUAAUCGGAAUUACUGGGCGUAAAGCGCUCGUAGGCUGCGUAUCAAGUCAAGGGUGAAAUCCCCGGGCUCAACCCGGGAACUGCCUUUGAAACUGGUAUGCUUGAGUAUGUGAGAGGAUGGCGGAAUUCCAGGUGUAGGAGUGAAAUCCGUAGAUAUCUGGAAGAACAUCAGUGGCGAAGGCGGCCAUCUGGCACAUAACUGACGCUGAGGAGCGAAAGCGUGGGUAGCAAACAGGAUUAGAUACCCUGGUAGUCC